UAAUCAGACAACUCCAGUGGAUUAUUAGUUUCCUAGGACUUUUAUAACAAUAGACUGCAAACUGGUGUCUGCAGAUAAUAGAACACCAUCCGUUCGUUCAUGGUUCUGAGGCCAGCAUGUCAAUCAGUGUGCAGACAGCAAUGUGUUCCAGCUAUAGACUCUCAUGGAGAAUCUUUCCUUGCAGGGCUCAACUCUUGGUGGCUCUCCAUGUUCCUUGGCUUGUGACUUCACAACUCCAAUUUCUUCCUCUGGCUUCUCAUGGCCUCUCUUAUUUUCUAAGUAUAAUUUCUACCAUUGAACUUAGGGACAGUUUGGAUGAUUCAUGUUGAUCUCCUCCCAAGACCCUUGACUUCUUUAUCUCUGCUAAAAGACCUCUCUAGACACAAGGCCAAGUCCGUGGCUUUCAUGUGUAGGUAUGUGUCAGUGAGGCCACUCCUCAGCUCUACAGCACUUGAAUUUAACUUGGACAUCUUAAAAGAUAUGUAUGAAGCACUUAGCAUCUGCCCAGUGUGCACCAGAUUCUGAGGACCCAUGGAGACCAUGACACAGUGAAAGCAUCCUAAGUAGCUAACUGCACUUCAUCAGGCUGUUAGAGCAGCAUGGCAGAUACAAGAGGAACCUGAGAAAUUGCUUGCCAAUCUAUCUAGCUGAAAUGGUCAACUCUGGCGAGAGGUCCUAUCUCAAAAAUACGGUAGAAGGGAAAUGGGAUGGCAUAGCUGGUAAUAGGUGCUUCCUAAGCAAGCCUGACAGCACAUAAAGUGGUGAUAUCGACUGCGCAAUCACUAUACCUGUGGGAGAGUGAAAGAAACCCUGGUUCCUGGGUUGAGGAGAUUUGAACUCCGGAGACCCUGAAAAAGACGAUAGAAGCUUUGCCAGACUCCCAGGAAACCAGGCCAGU
rnacentral:sRNA from 1 species